AGGUUGUGGAGAGGGGCGGCCCUAGCCCCAGUCCAGCCCCUCCACAGUGUCCUUCCUGCAGCCUGCUGAGGGAUGCCCAAGAAGUUCCAGGGCGAGAACAGCAAGUCGGCCGCUGCCCGAGCACGGAGGGCUGAAGCCAAGGCGGCAGCUGAUGCCAAGAAACAGAAGGAGCUGGAAGAUGCUUACUGGAAGGAUGAGGACAAACACGUGAUGCGGAAGGAGCAGCGCAAGGAGGAGAAGGAGAAGCGACGCCUGGAGCAGCUGGAGCGCAAGAAGGAGACACAGCGCCUGUUGGAGGAGGAGGACUCACGACUCAAAGGCGGCAAGGCCCCACGUGUGGCGCCCGCCAAGGUCACACGCGCGCAGAUCGAGGACUCACUGCGCAAAGAGCAGCGCGCAGAGCCAGUGGAAAAGGCCAAGAGCCACCUGGAGCUGCCACUGGAGGAGAACCUGAACCGGCGCCUGCAGGAAGAGGGCAGCGUGGAGGCGCGCACCGUAGAAGACGCCAUAGCAGUGCUCAGUGUGGCUGAGGAAGCUGACAGGCAUCCUGAGCGCCGUAUGCGAGCGGCCUUCACCGCAUUUGAGGAGGUGCAGCUGCCACGGUUGAAGCAGGAAAACCCCAACAUGCGGCUCUCACAGCUGAAGCAGCUGCUGA
rnacentral:lncRNA from 1 species